rnacentral:rRNA from 1 species
GAUGAACGCUAGCGGCAGGCUUAAUACAUGCAAGUCGAGGGGCAUCAAGGUACACGAAAGUGUAUUGAUGGCGACCGGCGGACGGGUGAGUAAUAGGUAGGUAACCUACCUCAUACUGAGGCAUAGCUGGGAGAAAUUCCAGGUAAUUCCUCAUGAGGUUAUAUGACACAUGUGAUAUAAUCAAAGGUAUCGCAAGGUACUGGUAUGAGAUGGGCUUACUGACCAUUAGCUAGUUGGUGAGAUAAGAGCUCACCAAGGCGAAGAUGGUUAGGGGUUUUGAGAGAGAGAUCCCCCACAUUGGAACUGAGAUACGGUCCAGACUCCUACGGGAGGCAGCAGUAGGGAAUAUUGGGCAAUGGGCGGAAGCCAGACCCAGCCAUGCCGCGUGAAGGAAGACGGCCUUAUGGGUUGUAAACUUCUUUACUAUGCGACUAACUAGAUUUACGAGAUAAUUCUAUAGAAUGUAGCAUAGCAAAAAGCACCGGCUAACUCCGUGCCAGCAGCCGCGGUAGUACGGAGGGUGCGAGCGUUAUUCGGAAUUACUGGGUUUAAAGGGUGCGUAGGCGGCUAAGUAAGUUGUCAUUGAAAGGCUACAGCUCAACUGUAGUAGUGGUGGCGAUACUG